rnacentral:rRNA from 1 species
UACAGAGGGGGCAAGCGUUGUUCGGAAUUACUGGGCGUAAAGGGCGCGUAGGCGGCCUUCUAAGUCGAACGUGAAAUCCCCGGGCUCAACCCGGGAACUGCGUCCGAUACUGGAAGGCUUGAAUCCGGGAGAGGGAUGCGGAAUUCCAGGUGUAGAGGUGAAAUUCGUAGAUAUUCGCAAGAACACCAGUGGCGAAGGCGGCUCACUGGCCCGGUACUGACGCUGAGGUGCGAAAGCGUGGGGAGCAAACAGG